GCAUAUCAAUAAGCGGAGGAAAAGAAACUAACAAGGAUUCCCUUAGUAACGGCGAGUGAAGCGGGAAGAGCUCAAAUUUGAAAUCUUCAAGGUUCUACCUUGACGAAUUGUAGUUUAAAGAAGUGUUUUCUGUUAGAUGAGUAGCAAAAGUUCCUUGGAAUGGGACAUCAUAGAGGGUGAGAAUCCCGUAUUUGGUUAUUCAUUCUAGCUUUGUGAUACACUUUCAAAGAGUCGGAUUGUUUGGGAAUGCAGUCCAAAAUGGGUGGUAAAUCUCAUCUAAAGCUAAAUAUUGGCGAGAGACCGAUAGCGAACAAGUACCGUGGGGGAAAGAUGAAAAGAACUUUGAAAAGAGAGUUAAACAGUACGUGAAAUUGUCAAAAGGGAAGCGUUUGACACCAGUGUUGUUUUUCCGAAAAUCAAUUACGAAUGGCUUGAUUUUGUGUUGUAUUGACCUUAUCAGCUUUCUGCACUUUUUUCGAGUCUUUCUUAAUGCACUUUUUGGUUAACAAGUCAACAUCAAUUUCUUUUGUUGUAAAAGAGUAUUCGGAAGGUGGCUUUCUUUUCGGAGAAAGUGUUUAUAGCCCUAUACUUCUACAAUCGGAGAGAUUGAGGUCUGCAGCGUAGAUCCUUCGGGGUUAGAUACAUUUGUGCUAAGUUGUAGCUUUUCAUAGACAACUUGUUGACUAUGUUUAGUCAUGCGGCUUACUCGCUUAUGCUAUUUUACCUACGCUUAGGAUGUUGACAAAAUGGUUUUAAACGACCCGUCUUGAAACACGGACC
rnacentral:rRNA from 1 species